UGAAAUCAUCACAAGAAAAGUUCCUGCUGGGAAAAGAAAGAUAAGUAUUCCAAGCCUGUUUCCAAAUCAGUGUAGUUGAAAAAUGAUGUUAAUUGAAAAGUUUAACACAGCAAAACUCACAAAGUUCUUUCCAAUGUGUUUGCUAUGUUAAUCAUUUUCAUAUUUAUCUUGCAUUCUUUAAACAGGAUCAUUUCCAAGUGAGUGGCCUGACUUGCAACUUUCCAUUGCUUUAUGGGAUGGGGAGAAGGAGAGAGAGGUGAGCCUAGAGUUCUGAUAUAAUAAGGCAUGUAGCUUUUCCCUUCCUUAUUACCUGAGUGCUUACUCUAAAUUGCUAAUCUACUGUUAAUGAGCUUCAGUCUAGUCUGAGAAAAUGCCAGUUUUUAAAUUGAGGGAGCCAAUUUCUUUAAAGUCUGGAUUUAGGCCCAGGUUUAAAAAGUCACAAUUAAUAACCUACCGCCUGAUACAUCUCUUAAGCCUUUUGGAAUCUUGCAUUUCAAUGGAGUUUUCUUCAUUUCUUGUGGAUGAGUGAUCCAGGAAGUUACUGUACUCCUUUUAAUAAAUAGUCCAGUUAUAAAUCAUUCACUGGUUCCCUAACUGGUCUUGUCGGGAGAGAAGGCAAUGCUUUUGGGCCUGAUGGCCCCUCCCUUCUGUCCAGCCUCUUCCUGGGACCACCUGGAUUUCAUAGAAGGUUUGCUCUCUGGGUCUGGCUGCAGACCUGUGGCCUGAGUGCGUGCCUUUUGGCAGGGUUCACACCAGGUCUGAAGCUGCUGCCUGCUGUUUCUUGAGGCGGAGCAGUGGGUGCGACUGCAAACAAAAAUAAUUUCAUCCUGAUGAACCGGAUGGUCGGGGCUGGUGUCAGCAGGGCGGACCCUGCUCGCCCUUACUCAAGCCCAAGGCCCUGGGCACAAGAAGAAGGGACAAGGCCCUAUCCCUGCGUUUAUGGCCCGUGCAGAAGUUGAACCACUGGAUCAUUUCAAUAGGCCGUGGGAGCAGAAAUCAGAGGCAUGCAGAUGGCGCUAGAGGAGCUCUGCUGAAUCCAACUGGGAACCUGACACAGCCUGCUUAGACGGCUCCUUCUUGGGUGUAGCCAUGGAAACCAUCUUGCGGUCAUGUACACGUCUCACUGGCAUCUUUCACCUCUAGUUGUUUUUGUGGAGGUUCAAGUUGUUAGUGACUUGAUGUUCUCAGAAAAAUGCAAACUCUGGGGCCAGUGACGGGUGUGGUCAAAAUGGAUAUGAUGGAUUUCAUUAAGUUCAGUCAUUCUUGGGUUUGCAAAUAAACUUACCAACUUGGCAUCAGAAGCUGCCCACAAUGUGGCCUUUACUGAUCUUCCCAUUAUAUUUGUCCUUAGUUCAUAUUCAAUUUCAUUUAGCCUCUGCACCUUUGUUACUUCUGUUUGAAAUUCUCAAUUUUCUUGAUUGGAUACACUCCUUCUCUUUUUUAAAUCUAUCCCUAGCAAAUUUUGGCACUUCUCUCAGAAUAUUUUACAUAUAUUGUCUUUAAUUUUAGUUCUAUAAGUACUCAUCCUAUCCUUUCCAUGAAAUGGCAAGCCUGGUGAGUUGAUGGUAGAAACCAUGCCUUCUCUCCCUUGUAUUCCAGUGUCUUACACACAGGAGAGGUUCGACAAAUAUUUGUUGAACUACAGGAAAUUAAAAGA